rnacentral:rRNA from 1 species
CCUGAAGGAACGUUAAAGACGAUGACGUUGAUAGGCCGGGUGUGUAAGCGCAGCGAUGCGUUGAGCUAACCGGUACUAAUGAACCGUGAGGCUUAACCUU